rnacentral:rRNA from 1 species
GCUAAUAAUCUAGCCCCUCCAUAUCAAAUGAAACCAUUAACUUUAUGAUAUAAACUAAAACAUUUUAUAAAUCUAGUAGAGGCGAUUAAAAAAUUAACAGGAGCAAUAAAAAAUGUACCGCAAGGGAAAGAUGAAAUAAAAAUGAAACAUAUGUAAAGCACAAGACAGUAGAGACUAACUCUCGUACCUUUUGCAUCAUGGUUUAACUAGUCCAAUCAAGCAUAACGACUUAAAGUUUGACCUCCCGAAACUAAGUGAGCUACUUCAAGGCAGCUUAUUGAGCAAACCCGUCUCUGUUGCAAAAGAGUGGGAAGACCUUCAAGUAGAGGUGACAGACCUAACGAACUUAGUGAUAGCUGGUUGCUCAAGAAAAGGACUUUAGCCCAGCCUAAAGUUUUUACCAGUUUUUCAAAACACAAUUUUAACUUUAGAGUAAUUCAAAUAAGGUACAGCCUAUUUGAAAAAGGAUACAACCUAAGCUAAUGGGUAAUAUUUUAAUUUAUAACCAAGUGGGCCUAAAAGCAGCCACCUUUAAAAUAGCGUCAAAGCUUUAUUAUAUAUGGUUUUUAAUUUCUUUUAAUUCACCAAACCCUUUAAUCUUAUUGAGCAAUUCUAUACUAUUAUAGAACAUAUAAUGUUAAAACUAGUAACAAGAAGAAGACCUUCUCUUAAAUGCAAGUGUAGAUCAACAAGGACCAACCGCUGAUAAUUAACACCCAUGAAAACAUAUUAGCAACCCCGCAAGAAAACUCUAAUAAACUAUGUGUUAAUCUAACACAAGAGCAUUACAAGAAAGAUUAAAAGAAAAAGAAGGAACUCGGCAAAUAUUAACCUCGCCUGUUUACCAAAAACAUCGCCUCUUGAAUAUCUAUAAGAGGUCCAGCCUGCCCAGUGACUCUGUUCAACGGC